AUUAUUGAUGAACUCCUGGAUGAACCUGCAUGUGCUUGUUGGUUUUCUAAAUUGGACCUGAGAUCAGGAUGUCAUCAAAUCAGGUUGGCACCAGGAGAAGAGCAUAAGACUGCUUUCCAAACUCAUAUUGGUCAUUUUGAAUUCUUGGUAUUAUCAUUUGGCCUUACUGGUGGACCUAAUACCUUCAACUUUGGUAUGGAUGAUACUUUGGCUCCAUGCAUUAGGAAGUUUGUAUUGGUCUUCUUUGAUGACAUGCUAGUAUUCAGUGCUUCCUAUGAGUUACACCUGCAGCACUUGGCUGAAGUUCUGAAACUGCUGCUCCAACACCAGUGGCAGGUCAAGUUAUCUAAGUGUGCUUUUUCUCAG
rnacentral:rRNA from 1 species